CCUACGGGGGGCUGCAGUGAGGAAUAUUGGUCAAUGGACGCAAGUCUGAACCAGCCAUGCCGCGUGCAGGAAGACGGCUCUAUGAGUUGUAAACUGCUUUUGUACGAGGGUAAACGCAGAUACGUGUAUCUGUCUGAAAGUAUCGUACGAAUAAGGAUCGGCUAACCCCGUGCCAGCAGCCGCGGUAAUAAGGAGGAUUCAAGCGUUAUCCGGAUUUAUUGGGUUUAAAGGGUGCGUAGGCGGUCGGAUAAGUUAGGGGGGAAAUCCCGAGGGUCAAAUUCGGAAUUGCCUCUGAUACUGUUCGGCUAGAGAGUAGUUGCGGGAGGCGGAAUGUAUGGUGUAGCGGUGAAAUGCUUAGAGAUCAUACAGAACACCGGUUGCGAAGGCAGCCUACCAAGCUACUUCUGACGUUGAGGCACGAAAGUGUGGGGAGCAAACAGGAUUAGAUACCCUGGUAGUC
rnacentral:rRNA from 1 species